rnacentral:rRNA from 2 species
AAAGACCUUAUGCUUUGAGAGCGGCCGAUGUCUGAUUAGCUAGUUGGUAAGGUAAUGGCUUACCAAGGCGACGAUCAGUAGUUGGUCUGAGAGGACGACCAGCCACACUGGGACUGAGACACGGCCCAGACUCCUACGGGAGGCAGCAGUGGGGAAUUUUGGACAAUGGGCGAAAGCCUGAUCCAGCAAUGCCGCGUGAGUGAAGAAGGCCUUCGGGUUGUAAAGCUCUUUCAGUCGAGAAGAAAAGGUUAUGACUAAUAAUCGUAAUCAAUGACGGUAUCGACAGAAGAAGCACCGGCUAACUACGUGCCAGCAGCCGCGGUAAUACGUAGGGUGCGAGCGUUAAUCGGAAUUACUGGGCGUAAAGGGUGCGCAGGCGGUUUUGUAAGUCAGAUGUGAAAUCCCCGGGCUUAACCUGGGAAUU